UGCCGCAGGCAACGACCCGAAGGGCGAAGCGCGCAGCGCUGAGUCAUCCUUCCCCCACCACCA
rnacentral:sRNA from 14 species